UUUUUUUUUUGGUUUCUUGGAUAUUUUCAGGACAUUACGUACAAUUGUAUGCAUAUUUCGAAUAUGAACUACAACCCCAUGCGGAAGGGCAGGACAAUGCGGCGAAAAAUAUUGUAGAUGUUUUUGAGCAUGUGUUUAUGCCUCCACAAAUUUGAGGAAUGCAAUUCUGCACAUUCAUUUCGUGGCUGUUAACCGUGAAAACUUACUAAUUUGUCUUUAAAUACAUACAAAUUGGAUAUGAUUUGAAAAACCUGAAACUUGGCAUGAUGUCAUGGUAUGCCCUCGGUAGGCCGUAGUAAAAAAACAGCUAGUUUGAGAAAAUUUGUCAUGCCACGUGCUUAAAAGCGGAGCAUUCGGAGGAAGAAUCAUGGUUACGAGAGUGGACGGGUCAAGUUUAAGUGGGUCUGACGGUCGCUUCACUGGGCGGCCUUAAAACUUUUUCUUCAGUCAGCACUUAACAUUUAAAGCUAUAUGUCAUUUUUUUGGCUAUUUUUCGGAUUCAUCUGAUAUUUCUAGGAAAUUACGUGUAUUCCUAUGAAUAUUCCCAUGAUUUAUCAUCGCACAUGAUUUGUGGUUGUAAACUGUGGGCGAUGCGUUAAGUACGCCGCAGAGAUAAAAAUUUAUCCUAAAUUUUUCACACGUCCAGAAGCAUAUUUUAAAGACAGUUGGCUAAUUUUCAGCACCGUCUAAUUUGGCAGCAGAAAAUUCGACAUCAGUUCAUACGCUCACUGUUUUACAAACAGUUCACCAGUUUACAUGUAGAUGAACUGCAUAAAAUAUACAUUACGUCAUGGUAUGCAUACAAAAAAGUCGUGCCACUAUUGUUGUCAUGAUCUUCCUCGGCUCAGAAGUUUUCAGAGGAGCUCGUCAAGUUGAUGAUUUCCACAGGUUUCGCGGCGGCGACCGGCGGGACUGCCUCGGUCGGAGCGACUGCGGGGCCUCUCGCCAGGUCUGCCGCGAUCAAUGAAGGUGCCAUCACCGCGGCGGCAUUCAUCAGGGCAGCCAUCGUCGAAGAAGCCACCGUGACGCCCACGUGGACCAUCCAGACACGAACGGGCACCGCUCUUGUCAGGGAUGCGUCCGUGGUCGCCGUGGCCGUCGAGGUGCCGCUCUUGCCAGGGCUAUCGCCGUAGGUGAAAGUCAUGCACCGGCCCUCUUUCUUCAAAAAUGUUUUCCUGAGUAUAUUCUCUUGUGCUGGCAGCUUUCCGGUCAGGCAACAGGGAUCUGACCAGAGAGCGCCGACACGAGUGCCGCCUUGAACCCGGCGUCCCUCGUCAGCGUCGCCGCCAUCUGCUCCGCCAGGUUCUUCCUAUCGGCCACCUGCUCCGCCGUCGAAGCUUCCUGAUUCCCCCUGCUGCUGGACAAGCACCGGCGCAGCUGAUACGCGGACGGCGGCUGCGUCGCCCCUCUUCCUGCCACCAGAGCCUUGUUGCUUGGGCGGCGGUGCGUGGUUGUGGUCGCCGUCGUACGUGGCCACAAGCAUGGUCUUGUCCUCGGCGCUGCGCUGCACCUUCUUCUUCACCUGGCACGACGGCGCGAACGAGCACCGGAAGUAGGCCCUCGGGCACGGGUUGUCCUUGGUCACCUUCUGCCCGUAUUUCCGCCAUUGGAACCCAUCCUUCACCACCUGCUCGUCAAAACCAAGCGCAAAUUGAUUAGUUAAUGGACGCCAAGAAACUUUCGUUGCAUCGAUGCUCACGAGGAAGACGAUGAACAGAAGUUGCUAUUGGGUGUCUGUUUGUUACUUACGAGGCUGACGUCGGAGGGGUCGGCGUGGACGUAGAGCUUGGAGACCCUGCUGGCCUUGACCUCGUCGGCGCGGACGCGCUUGCUGUUGCAGGGCUCGUGGACGGGCGUGCACUCCGCCUGGUCGGGGCCGACGGUGACGCUGACGGCGAAGCGGCCGCUGCUGCCGGCCGCGGCGAGCGGCGGUGAAGGGUUGCGGCUGGCCGUGUCGAGGCUGUCGCUGCGGGCGCGCUUUCUGGUCGCCGAGGCCGAUGAGCCGUCCUCCGAUGUCGUCCACGACUGGUGAUGGUUGUUGGCCGCCGCCAUCGUGCCGCUGACCUUGCACUGCAGGUCGGCGUACUUGGCCACCAGCGCGCGGAGCAUGUGGCUGAGCCUCCUGUUCUCCUCGCCCACUCGCCGGAGCUCAGCCUCCAGCGCCUCAACCUCGUGAUUUUUCUUGGAGGACAUGAAGUCCUCCUCCAGGAGGACCCUGGUCACCGAAGGGGCGCCUCGCGGCCCGCCGACGUUGAGGCCGAGGCUGAGGGAAGUCUGCCCAAUCAUCCACUGCUCGUCCAUGUCUUCCUUGAAUUCGCAGUAGCUCAAGAAUGGAAGAAGUCGAAGAAGAAGACAGGGAUGCUAGACGGGCAUGAGCUAGAGAAGUGGGCGAGGCUUGGAGGAGGCGCGCAGACAUCAAUUUAUAGAGAGGAAGCAUCUUGAGGUGGGGUUCGUCGUCGUCGUCGCGCUUCUUUUGGUCGCCGUGACCGCGAUACAAUAUGUUUAGUGAAGCUGGCAAGAAGUGGUACUACAAGGAUUUGUUUUUGUGGGUGACAAUCAGCAUGAGGGAACCGAUGGAUGGAUUGGGAGAUUGGGUUGGAGGAGUAAGUGGGAAUUGUUUGAUUAGUGAAGUGGAGCGGGGACAGAAGAGAAGCGCUUGUUUCCUUGGGGUCUCCGUUUGGUCAAGUAGAGCCAUCGCGUGCCAACAACUGGGCAUGCUUUCAUGCUUACAUUUUGGCACCCCAACAAAGAAAAUUGCGGGCAGCCUGCCUUGAUUUUCUUUAAUAAUAUUUACAAAAAAGAUACAUGUACUUUUUGCCAGCCUUUAAAAAUCUACAAGUCGCCGGGUUUUUCUUAGGUAUAAAUCGAUGCCCCGGGUAGUCCUAUUUCACCCGCUUUAGAGUCUUGUAAAUGUCGCCUAGUACCAUUGACUUGAACAGAAAAAAAAACCGGGUUAACCUACAUCUUUUCAACACCCCAAGAAAGAAAAUUAGGCACGCAAAAAAGAAUUUGUUUUUAUCACUUUAGUGGAUGUUGGGCUAGUAAUAAAGAUGCAGUAUACCCCUUUUUUUUGUUUAAUUUUGAAAUUAGAGACGCAAUACACCCAUAUAUAUGAUUUUUGGAUCAUCCAAGUUGUUAAUAAUGUAUGUUUGUCGAUAGAGUCUCUUUAAUCAGUUGCACCCUUGUUUAGUUUUAUGGUUUUCAACCGAAUUUUCUUUUAUAGACACGGCCAAUCUUCUAUAUGAAACGUUAUCAGAAGCACUUUACCCACUUAGAAAGGCUUCGUGAAGAAAACCAAUAAAAUUCACAUGUGGAUAUCAAAACUGAAACUCAAGAACUUUCCGAGGAGGAAAAAGUCAAAAUGGACAGUAUUCUUAGGAAGCUUAAUGAGGUAUGGUAGCUAGAGGAAAUCGAAGCCAUACUGAGGUCUAGAGAUAGGGAGAUUAUUGAGAGGGACAACAACACUGCUUAUUUUCAUGCAUUUGCUAACCAAAGAAGGAGGAGGGAAAUCGUGUUUUAGAUGGCCCUGAUGGUCGAGUGCCCGUUGGUGAGAGCAUGAUAAAAAUAAUUGUUGAUUAUUAUAGAGAUCCUUUUUAGUGGGAACCUAGACCUAUGUUACAUAUAAUAGAGGAUUUCAUUUGAAAGACCGAGAAAAACAACAAUAUGGAGAAUAGCAAGUAAGGGCAUCUCCAAAGCUGACCGGCAAAUAGCUCCAGUAUAUGCCCGUUUUUAUGUCCGGUCGUGGUCUAGGGACAUGAUGCCAGAGGGAGCCAUCCAAAUUUAUUCGCAAAUUAAUCUUUAUUUGUCCGUUUGGUAGGAGAGAGGGGAGCGGGGACUAUGCAUGUGCAGACAGAGAAAAGGGAGGAGGACCACGUGGUUAAGUGGAUGUCCGGACAGCGGUAUAGAUCCCCCCACGUUCGUUUUAGUUUUGCUGGAUAACGGAGUCCGGACCACUUGGCGGACCGAUGGGGGUCCUCAUUGGAUGGCAAAAUUUGAUACAAAUGGUCAGUGUACCAUAACCGAAACAUAUACCGGAGCUUUGAGGGUCUUCUUUGGAGAAGCCCUUAGAGGCUAAUAUUUUUAUUUCUAUAUGAAGUAGCAUGACCACCAUGCCCUCUUGAUGAUAUUCCAAUUCAGAAAUUCCUUUAAAGUUCUCAUGGAAUGGCAUAAAAUGCAUUUCCACAAAUAGGAUAGAAAAAUUCUGGUCCGUGUUCAAAAAUAUAUAUUUGAUGGAACCUCCUCACCAAGUGAAUUUCCACCUAAUCUGUUUUGACCAUCCAAGAGUCAUUUUAUAACCGGGUUUGCCAAAAUACAUAUACGUGAUUUGUUUUGAAGCUCUCGUCCUUUUCUUUGUUCAACAGUUUUUCAGUGGCUUUGCAUUUCAGUCUCUUUAGGAUGCAGACACUUCUUGUGAAGUUGAUUAUUCUCCUUAAGAAAUUGUUGACUAAUUAAAAUCGUGACCAAAAUUCCGAAUUGAAUACCUCAAGUGAAAAAGAGGGUUUCAAAAUUAUUCACCUGCAAAAAAAAAGCAUAGUGUAUUAGAUGAUUCCAAAUAUGUUAUUUCUUCUCGGUUCUCACGCACGUGAUGUCAGCUGGACUAGAACCUGGACUUUGAGUUGACGUAAUAUUAAGAAGAAGAAUUCGUACGCAGUGACCCAACCAAUAUAGGCCGAAAUCACUGUUCUGACCUUUUCAGCAAUCUUUGCCACAAAAUGAACUCGACAUGAAAGUAUUUCACGAUCUGACCCUUUUAGCAACGUCACAGCCCGUGGCAUUUCUUCUCUAUAUAGAAACACCGAGAUAGCUUGCGUUUCAUCUCCACAUUCAAACGCCAACCUAGCUCGCGUUUUCGCUCCACAUCGAAACGCCAAGCGCAUUGGCGUUGCUGCCUCAGGCCGAAACGCCAAAGCUCACGGCGUUUCUACCUAAUUAAUCUCUAGCUCUGGCGAUCAAAAAUCUCUAGCUUGGCAUGCAUGCAUGCGCUGGCCCGUGAACUGAGCUGAUGGAGAUUUUUGCUGCUGCUUUGGAGCGUGCGCGCGCGUCGUUUGGGCCAAGUUGCUUGGAACUUUGGAUCCUUUCUAUGCCCGACGCGGACGGCAGCGUGCACAGCUACGGCACUGCAAGCAUGCGCACCGUGAACCAGUGCAACCAGCAAGCGUUGUGCCUACCUAGUCGUACUAAGAGCUCUUUUAUGGUACCUUGGAAUGAAUAUUGGCCGUUCAUUUCUGAUGAUCCAACGCCUCAAAGGGAUGUAUACUGCUUGGAUCGGGUUAGCAGUACAGCGUGCACUGCUUGUAUAACGUGAGCAGUAUACAAGAUUUGAGGGCAAUUUGGGAAGAUAUUUUCAGCUCGUCAGAUGGAUUGAUGCGACCCACUCGUUCUCUUUCUCAUCUGUUCUGUCGCCGCCCGCAUGAAUCUCCGCAUGCCCAUGUCCCGUCCCUUCCUCGAUCAGCCCGUGCUCGGUGGCUUGGAGCAGGUUUCACCUGACGUCCCCUACCCGUCCUGCUCUUCGUCGCCAGGCCGUAUGUGAGGCGCUGGCUUAGACUGCUCAUCGCGGCCUGACUCAUGACGGUGGUGGCAAAAACACCGGACGCCGCUGACGAGCUCGCCGCCGUUGAAAUUAAAGAAGGCCAUGCCAUACAGAAAUACAUCAUCCCCCGCCACAGCUCCCAGGCAGCAAUACGUAGGCGACAGGUGCUCACGGAUAGUUUAGUAAUUGGUAUUCACCUUCGUAUAGUUGUCCAUGUCCAACACAAAUUCAGGUUUUAAGUUGUGAAGUAUAUAUUAGUUCAGUCUGUUGGCAAUCGCAGUGAUGCUCGGUUAUUUCCAAGGAGCGGCAGUUAGCAGUAGCACUUGCAAGAAAUUUUUAAGGCCACUCAGUUUCUACCAUGAAAUCAUACCACAUAUACGGAUAUACCCAAUCAUGGAUAACUGAACUUCUAAUCCAUAAGAAGGUAGCAGAUGUUCGAGGCCUGCCGCAAGGUCACCGAUGUGCGAGCCUGCAAGGUUUACUAGAGGAGCAUGGCGAUUGGACGGAGCCAACUAACGCAGUGGCAGCGGCAAGAGGGACCGAGGGGAGUUGAACAGCCGGCUGGGUGUGUGGGAACGGCGCAUUGGGAUUGAGGUGAACCGUGGCUGCUUGGGGCCGCAGUGUGUGGGGGAGGCAGAGUUUUAAUGUGAAAACUUAGGGUCUAAACUACCCUCAAGAAAUCAACGGUGAGAUUAGAUAUAUACUGCUCCCUUUCUCCUAGCAGUAUAGGGUACCAUAAAAAAGCUCCGUACUAAACCGCGGCAACUUGGCCUCCUCGCACGCCUAUAAAAGGAGGAUCCAUGCAGCAGCAUAAGCCACCGCACUCAGCACAGCACAACAUCCUCAGAUCCUCUCACACAUACAAGAUACAAUAACAGAGAGAUCGAGCGGAUACAAGCCAAUGACAACCAAGAGCCUUCUUCUCGCCGCUCUCCUCGUCCUCGCCGUCAGCAUGGCGCCGCACGGUGCGGAGGCGGGCAAGCAGCUUCCGCUGGCACUCAUCACCGGCGUAGUGCCAUGCAGCGCUGGGAAUUCCAUCAACGCGGCGUGCAGAUGGUGUGCGGCCGUGAUGUGAUGGAUGCGAGGAGUUGUGAGGAAUUGUGGUCAGCUAGAAACGCCAUGCGCUUUGGCGUUUGGGCCCCGGCCGGCAACGCCAACAUACUUGGCGUUUUCAUAUGGCGCUAAAACGCUAGCUAGUUUGGCGUUUGAAUGUAGAGCUGAAGCGCGAGACACCUCGUCGUUUCUAUAUGGAGAAGAAACGUCACGGGCUGUGGCGUUGCUAAAAGGGUCAGAUCGUGAAAUACUUUCAUGUCGAGUUCAUUUUAUGGCAAAGAUUGCUGAAAAGGUCAGAAUAGUGAUUUCGGCCACCAAUAUACUAGUACAAAUCGAACGAACUCUCAGCCGGCAGGGCCUGGUUUGGACCUUAGUGUACGCACACGGUCCUGUCAAACCCAAAUUUUGGCUUGAUCUCUUCGCACCAUUCAUCCACGCAGCCGGCCACCCCUCAUUAGCUAGCAGGGAAUUGGCAAGUCGACCAGGUCAUCUUUGUUGAUUGGAUCGUCACAGCUGAUUAUUCAUUAACGAUGUAUACAGUCCAUAGACUUCAUCCACAGGACAUGCUUUCUAGUUUUCAAACCAAAUUUUGGCUUGAUCUCUUCGCGCCCAUGCAUGUAGCCAUGUACGCAGCCGGCUACUUGUGCAAUGGCUAGCUGCGAAUGGGCAAGUCGAUGAUCUGGAAAUCACUGAGACCAGGUCACCUCUGUUGAUUGGAUCGUCACUGCUGAUUAAUUAAUUAACUAUGUAUACAUGCAGUGCAUAGACUUCAUCCGCCCGACAUACUUAACGGGUUUAAUAUGUGCACCGGUAUGCGAGUACUAUGCUACGCGGUCUAUGCAUGACAUCUGCUUGUUUCAACCUCUCUUGGACAGGUGCUGAAUUUCCCGAUUUCUUAUGGCAACGCAAGCAAGAGCGCAUCAGAAGCAACGAAGGAUUUCAUAUUAAGUGGCAAAGUUGGUGUUCUUCAUUCUCGAAACAAUGAACAAGAAACAGAAAAGUUCAUGCAUGUGCUGGUAUAUUGUUUCUUUUUUCUUUGCAGGCCGAUUAAUUUGCAAGUAUACUCCUAAUUAUGUACUAUCCUAAUAAAAGUCAACCUGUUCCAACACUAAUGAGAACGGCCUCAUUCUGGACGAAGGAUGCCGAUCGAUCUCUUCCGUCACGAACUACACGUACACACUUGUUUGCUCGCACGUGUGAACUAGUGGAGAUACUGUACUUCCGGGGUCGUCGUUAGGAUCCUUUUUUAGUUUAGCAAAGAGUAUAUCAUAUCCAAGUUCAGUGUGAUGCAUGCAUGUGCAUGGAUCGAAUCUCCAGGUAGCCACGUUUCUGCAUAUUUAGCACGUGUAACGUGUUGUAGCGCGUCUGCAUAUUAAGCAUGAAGAACCACACACCUGGAAAACACCUGGAAAAUGCAACUACUGUUCAAGCUCACUGACGAGAAGAUAAGAUUCAAUUAUCAUUGGCAAGAUGGACAACAGAUGUUGGGUUACGUGGAACAGAUUUGUCCCUUAAUUAAUAAAGUGAUAGCCUCCCUAAUGGCCAGCCCCGAGGAAGGGUUCGCAUAAGAGCAAGUAUAAUAAAGUGUUGUAAGGGCAUCUCUAGCCUCGUUAUGGUCGCAAAAACUACAUCUUCCAGAAUUCAUCCAGUUAUGUUUUGCCAGAUUAUCCUUAGUCAAAAUAACUUGUUUAUGCACAAACCACAUAAACACUUUGAUUCUCAAAGGUACCUUCACUUUCCAAACGUGCUUCGAGGAAGGAAUCACGCUAGAGUUAAUAACAUCCAGAUACAUGGAUUUGAACGAGAACACGCCGUUCUUAGUUAGUUUCCAACACAACUGAUCUGGCUGCUGAGACAACUGGACAUCCAUCAAUCUUCUCACAAGAUGAAGCCAGGCCUCCCAACGAUUUCCCGCUAGCGUCCUCCGAAAACGAAUAUUGAGGGGGGUGGAUUGUAAAACUGUUGCAACGUAAGCAUCUCUACGUUGAACAAUGUUAUACAAAGUAGGAUAUUGAAGCGCAAGGGGAGUCUCCCCAAGCCACGUAUCCUCCCAGAAUCUCGUACAGCUCCAUUUCCGACUAAGAACCUGGUCCUAUUAAAAAAGAGUGAUUUGACUCUCAUCAAGCCUUUCCAAAAUGGUGAGUCAGUCGGCCUCACUGUCACCUGGGACAAGGUUUUAGAGUGAAGAUACUUAUUUCGCAAGAUCUGAGCCCAAGUGGCCUCCGUCUCGGAAGAAAGCUUGAACAGCCACUUGCUAAGGAGACAUCUGUUUUUGACUUCCAAAUUUUCAAUACCUAGACCCCCUUGGUCCUUUGGCCUACAGAUGAUAUCCCAUUUAGCAAGCCUAUACUUUCGUUUAAGCUCAUCACUCUGCCAAAAGAAUCGUGAUCGGUAGAAAUCUAGCCUCUUCCUGGCCCCCACCGGGACCUCGAAAAAAGAUAGAAGAAACAUAGGCAUAGUUGUGAGGACCAAAUUAAUCAAAAUUAAUCGCCCUCCAUAUGACAUGAGCUUCCCUUUCCAACAGCUCAUUUUCUUCCCAAAACGAUCCUCAAUGCAAUUCCACUCUUUGUUAGUCAGCUUACGAUGAUGAAUGGGUAUACCUAAAUACGUGAAUGGUAAUGUUCCCAAUUCACAUCCGAACAACUGUUUAUAAGUCUCCUGGUCAUCAUUAGCUCUUUCAAAACAGAACAAUUCGCUCUUGUGGCUAUCAAACACCUCUUUCUUGAUUGUUCGCUGGUCAAGAUUCUGUGGCGGUCGAUUCAUAUUGCUUUUAAUAUUAAUUCGCCCAGUUCUAUCAACACGUUAUUUGGGACGUGACUCGAUGGGAUUGAUUCAGAUACAGCGAGGCACAUUCGUGUAGGCGUGUGUGCUUUGUUAUGGGCAGUCUGGAAUUGCAGAAAUGAUUUGGUUUCUAACAGAACAACAAACAUUCACUUUUUGCAGGUUAUCUUCAGGGCAACUGGGUUGAUCCGAUGUGGUCGCUACUCACUCCGACGGAGGCUAGGGAGUGUUUGGUUACUACGUCUACCCGAUGAGAGAUGAUAGCUCGUGAUAUUUUCAAACGGUUUGGAUGGCGGUCAUGUAUUAGGAUAGGCAUGUAGUCCUCCUAUUUUUAUUUGCCAGCCGAUUGUGGCUCUGCCUUUUGUGUUUAGCUCUUGUGAGCAUGUGUUUACUUCCUGUUUCGAGACUUGGAGACUGUUGUUGAAUUCUUUUUUAUUAAUAACAUGAGCCGUAUGCAUCUUCUGAUGCAGAGGCUAUGGUAAACCCCCUUUUCGAAGAAAAAAAGGCAUCUCUAGCCAAUCUCCUAAAAUUGGUUAGAGAGCAAUUCACUUUACUUCUUUAACCAACAUCUCAGCCCCGAGGAAGGGAUUGCUAUUACUUCUAUCAAGCGUGCACAGAAUAGGCCCAACCAUGAGCUGGCGAGAUAUGGCCGUGUUACACCAUGAACUUGCGUAUGGCUGGGUGCUAGUACUGAUGAAGUUGUAACACUGUGUACGAGCAAUUUUGCACGACCGUGAGUAAUACGAUAUCUCUUUCCCCCGCCAAAAAAAACUAAUUAAGCAUGUGAUUAAUCGCGUUCGUUCAUAAAAAGCACUGGAGGAAUACUGAAGAAUCUCAUGCGAGAUCCUUGCUUUGUUUCUUGACUAAUUUGGGAUGCUGUCUGAGCGCCCGGUGAGGCAAAUCUAGUGCGUGCGCUGGACAGGACAGGAACGUGGGAGAAAGAAAUGGCAUGGAGGGGUCCCGUUAGACUAAACCCNNNNNNNNNNNNNNNNNNNNNNNNNNNNNNNNNNNNNNNNNNNNNNNNNNNNNNNNNNNNNNNNNNNNNNNNNNNNNNNNNNNNNNNNNNNNNNNNNNNNNNNNNNNNNNNNNNNNNNNNNNNNNNNNNNNNNNNNNNNNNNNNNNNNNNNNNNNNNNNNNNNNNNNNNNNNNNNNNNNNNNNNNNNNNNNNNNNNNNNNNNNNNNNNNNNNNNNNNNNNNNNNNNNNNNNNNNNNNNNNNNNNNNNNNNNNNNNNNNNNNNNNNNNNNNNNNNNNNNNNNNNNNNNNNNNNNNNNNNNNNNNNNNNNNNNNNNNNNNNNNNNNNNNNNNNNNNNNNNNGGCGACUAGGGUUCCGCGGCCGCCGCCACCCCCCUCCACUCCCUUCUUCCCCUCGCCGCUACCGGAGACGGCCGCCGGGAAGCCUGCGCGGGCGCCGGUGAAGGUGGCGGCGAGGAUCUCGGCGCUCCAUCCCCUCUCGGAGGCCUGCGGUUCCUGGGGCGGCGGCCCCAACCGGAGAGGCGGCGUCGCCGGGCGGUGGGCGGCGUUCGCAGGGGUGCUGGCCAGUGUGCCUGGCCGCGCGGGCGGCGGGUGGCUGGUGGAAUCCGGCCGCGGCGCGAAGAUUCUUCGUCAGAUUUGGAGGUUCGAAAUCCCUUCCCGGCUACCUCUCUCUCGCCGUCGGCGGUGGCUUGUGAUUUGCUCUCUGGCCCUGGCGUUGGUGCGAGUUGGUGGCCAGCUAGGGGACCGGGGGAAACCUUGGCCGGUCCGGCCGGUCCGGCGGCGGCAACGCCCAAGGGCGCUGCUUUCCUCCAUGGGGGCGCGGCCGAGGUCCCCUGUUUCCACCCCGACCCACCCUGCCCGGGUGAAAACCUUAUAUCCUCUCGGAUUUGGCGGCGGCGGCGCCUUGCGCGCCGUGACCUUGCUGGAGGCGCCGUUAGGGAGGCGGGAUGCGGUCGGGAGGCGCUGCAGGUGAGGGACGGAGCUGCCUCCUCUUCAUCGUCCGAUUCCACGAAGCGUAUUUCCACCUAGCUGGGCAUGGACCGUGGCGGAGCGGCCGGCUAGGGAUAUCCCAAAUUGAAGUGGCCACACUAUGUCCACCUUCCGAUGUGAGGGCGGCAUUCUUCGAGCUCUAGGGUGAGCUCCUCGAAACCCCGACGGUGCGGCGCCUACGAGCCAUGGCGAGGGGGUAGGGUCCCUCUUCGGUGAUUGAGAUGGAAGAUGUUGUUCCCCUUCUUCUCUAGGUGUUCCUGGAGCAUGGCCAUCUUUGAAGGUCGGAUAUGCCCUGCUUUGCUGCUCUGCUUUUCCUCAUAUGAUCCUAGUGUGGAGUGCUCGGCCUUUGCAAGUUGUAAUCUUAAUUUCCUUUGCAUUAGCUGCUUGUGGAGGUUGUAGUUAGCGUUUCAGUCCAGUGUUCCCAUUGUAUCCUUCUGACCGCUGUAAUUUGGUUGUUUGCUGUAACUCCUGGCCGGCUGAUGGCUUUGUUAAUUCAAAGCCGGGCUCCUCGCGAGCCUUCGUUCUAAAAAAAAGAAAUGGCACGGAGCAUGCAUGAACAUGACCUGUAUAUAUACUACUCCCUCUGUAUCAAAUUAUUUAUAGCUGGGAGAACUUGUAUUAGUUUUCCCAGCUACAAUUAUUUCGACACAGAGGUAGUAUGUGCCGGCUAGCUGUGCAAAUUGCGGAUCCGAGCUUUUGCAUGCCGUGGGCGAAUGUAUCACCAAACCAUGUGCCCGGCUCCGGCGAUGGAGGGCGAUGACGGCGGCGCGCCUUCGGCUUGCUUCAGUGCUUGUAGUCGUCUAGGUGGUCUAUGAUUCUGGAUGUAAUUUUUAUUUCUGGUAUUCAUUGUACUGCCAUUAUUGAAGAUGAAUUGAUUGGAAGUUUUUUCGAAAAAAAGUCUCACCGGAUUACUAAUCGGCCUGGCGCGCGUGCGGAGACCGAAAGAGACGGUCGGGACUCGGGACGCCGUACGCAGCAACGAGAAGCCCCGAGAUGGGUGGCAGCCGAGCCAUGCAUGGAGCCCCGUACCGACACCACGUCGUUUUCACCGCGGCGGCGGCGCCCGCCUUGGUCAGACGCCGGGAUAAUUAUUGUUCUUACAAAACCGCUAAUUAGUUACUUAAUCUGUCUGCAUUGCUAUCUGCUCAGCUUACGCAGCUGUUUCGUGCGUACGUGACUGGAUAAUUAACAUAGUUGUACAUUACGUGACUGGAUAAUCAACAGAUAAUAAUGUUGUUUACGUGUCCGGCUGUCGGUCCUCUGCUUCGCAAAAUAAUUAACUCCAAUAGAGUACUGACUAGCUACCAGCAAUGCGGGCAUUCCCGGGCGCCCCAUAUCCGUCUUAUAUUUGGGCUGGAUAUGAGGGGUGUCCGUCAACCCGGACGUUUGGGGCCCAUUUAAGGAGCCCCUUUGCGUUGAAAAUCGUGACCGGUCAAUAACCGGGCGGUUCGUCCGAGUGUAUGAGGUGAAUUUGAGGUGCUCGGCUGUAGAUGCUCUAACUGAUCGAAUGUUCGAUGUUCAUGAUGCAUGCCAAGUCUCUCCAGAAGCAAGAAUUGUAAAAUUCAAACGAACUUAGUUCAGCAUGGACGGUUGACUUUUCGUGCAGACUUUUUCAUACAUACUCUGGGUCGGUUUCAACGGUACGCAGCUGCUAGUGACCCCUUGAGAGUUGAGUGCUAGGAGGUACUACCUCCAUCCGGAAAUACUUGUCAUCAAAAUGGAUAAAAGAAGAUGUAUCUAGAUGUAUUUUAGUUUGAGAUAUAUCACCUUUUACCUAUUUUGAUGACAAGUAUUUUCGGACGGAUGGAGUACAUGCAGUAGCCUCUUCCACGGGUCAACGCCAGGACAUGGCUGGAAGGUGGAAUCGGCUUUCUCAUGGGUUUGGCCACUUGCACGAUGACUUUCUUACGUUUCCUUACUUGCCGUGCCCAUGCAUGCAGAUGCAGGUCAUGGCGGCACUAAUCGAUUGCAACACGUUUGAUUUGGGACUAGCUUGAAGGUCGACUAAUUUUAAAUGUCAACGGCGUUCAUCUAAAGCAGUAGAAAAUCGCAAACACGAAAGACAGCCGGAGAUGCAGUUGCUGCCUGCACGCAGAACUCGAUGGGGUCGGAUGGGGGCAUGCGGCCGGUGACGUCGCCUCGCUGGUGGUGGAGUGGGACUUUUUUUUUUUCGGGGCUUGGCCAUUGCCUGCCGGCAGCCUUGUGGAGUCCACUUCUCACGAUCCGGUGGCCGACCGGCGACUUGUCGCGGACCUUGACCCGUGCGAAUCCAUGUUCUACUAAUUUGCCAAUCUUUCGUGUGCGAGAUUCAUGCAUGCAAGUGUUAAAUGAGUCACUAAUUUGCUCGUGGUGGUCUCCCUCAGGGGCGAAUCUACGUAAGAGGUUGUGGGGGCGAAUGCCCCCACUCGAUUUUUUGGCCCAUGUAUACCAGGCCUAAUAUGCAUAUCGUUGCCCCCGCUCAGCCCAGGCUAUUUGCCCCCACUCCUUAAUUUUUCGGUUAUGUAAAGCCCAUCCGCCCAUGUGUGAGUUGCAGCCCAUGUAGAAAGAAUACGAAGCAGGCAGAUGCAUACGGGCAGUUGCUUGCCAAAUCGCUAGAAACCUAUGCGCCGCCGCCUGGCUCCUGACUAAUCUGCUGCUCAUGCAUGCGACCGCCGUGGCAAGCCGAAGCUGUCGACGCCUGUAACUCUAAGCUACCUACAGGCCGUCCCUCCGACUGUGAACCUUGAUCUGCACCAUGCACUCCGGCUGACCGGCCGGGUCGCCGUCCCUAAGGAAAAACAAUACGUGCGCCGCUCAUCAAUCUUUCAAUCAAGGUAAGCCCUAGGUUCAGUUCUCAUUUUUAUCUUCUAAUUUCCAUAUUUUCAGUCUAUUCUGAUUCCAGGUUUAAAAGGUACAAAUUGGUAAUUAGGUUGAUUGAAUCUUGCUAUAUGUAAUAAUUUCAUAUGAAUAAGUUUGAGCACAUGGGAGCAGAAUAAAAACUCUGGACUACAGUAAUAUUAUGUCUUCAUGUACUUCAAUUUAUUUAGAAAGCUAAUGAACAGAUUUUUUUGGAAAAUCCGCAACUGGUAGUAGGCUUACAACACUCAAUCUGAACAAGCUAAUUACCAUCCAUCUAAAAGGAAGAUAGUAGAUUUUAAUAUCGAUUAUCUUAACGGAAGGUAGUGUGCUCAAGCUUAUAUUUUUAGCAAUCUACGUUUACAUUCUCUCUUUACAUUUAAACACUUCUAUUUUUCCUGCAGCGUGAAGGCUAGAAUUCACGGACGUACCAACAAAAAGGAACGGCAUAUUCAUAUUUCUCAAGUUACGGUACCUAAAGUGGUUAGCUUACUUUUAUUUUGGCAAUGAUUUUUUUCAUUAUUAUGUGCGUGAUCAUGUGAUUUUUUGUUUUGCUUCUUUCACACAAUAUGCAUGCUUUGUGUGGUUAGUUUCUUACAUGAUCUAGCCAUUAGUUCGUAUACACUUUUCUGAAGAAAAAAAAUCCUAAACCUCUUUGCCCCCUCUCAUGUUUCAUCCUGGCUCCCCCCUGGUCUCCCUGAUACUCCUCCACAAGUGAGUUGGAAACCGGACGGUUCCUUUGUCCGAGCAAGAUUUUUAGUUGGUUCACCCAAUAUUUACCCACUGGGCCACUGGUAGAUGACAAGAUUGAGGGACUCCUUGGCCUGUCCGAGCUAUAUAGCCGAGCGAUCCAGCACGUGCCAGAGUAAAAGUAUACGGUACUCCUUGGCCUGACCAUUGUGCUUGGCUAUAGAGACCGAUUCGUAAAGUUCAUUGAUGGACGAGCACAUGAACUAUUCCCGUCGACGAAUCUCCAGCUCGUAGAAAAGAAGCGACUGAUCAAAAAGAAGAAGAAGAAGAAGCGAGGCGAGAUCCACGUCCGAGAUUCAGAUGAAGACUUGGUUAACUUACGAACCUACCUGUGGUUGGAUGGUUAGAGGGACUGUGGUAUCCACAACCCAUCAGGGUUCAAAUCCUGAUGCUCGUAAUUAUUCCUGGAUUUAUCUAAGGAUUUCCGGCGAUGCGCAUUUAAUGGAAGGAGACGUUUCCGUCGACGACGAGGUGCCUAGAUGACUACGUAAAUUUUAAGAUGAUAUGUCAACUCAGUCUUUCAGAGGUGCUCAUGGAGGUAGGAUGUGUGUGUGUGCAUUCAUAGGAGUGAGUGUAUGCGCGUGUAUAUAAGCGCUUGUAUCUAUCCUGAUGUUAAAAAAAAAAGACUUGGUUAACUUCUCACAGGGCUGACGAUGCGGAUAGGACGGAUAGAGGGUCAACCGGUCAAGACAGAAUGGAAACUAAUUUCUCGGGAUCAUUUAAUCACGGAAAUCUUUUACGGCACGGGCAGCGUAUGCCACAAGGGGAGGACAAUCGUGGGAGCGUGCAUUCACAGGGCCGCCGAUCGUUAACUUCCAGACAGAUUCAACCCGUGUGUUCAACAUGCUUUCCCCCACCGACGGCGGCGCGCGGCAGGUGCCUAGCAUGGUGGACGCCGGCCGGCCAAGGUUACAAAAAUUAAUCAGUUUGUUUUGCUCUUUGCUUGCGCAUACAGAGGUGUAUCAUUUUGACGAUCAAUGAAACGGCGCUCAUAUGGGUUGGUAGAACUAGUGCAUUUCUCGGAUGCACUAGUCCAUUUUUUAGCACGUGGUAUCUUUCGUCCAUGGAUGCACUAGUUGCGAACUAAAUUGUGAUUAGAUGGUUAGAGGGACAGUAGUAUCCCAGUCCACUAGGGUUUAAGUCAUGUUGCAUGCAUUAUGCACUGGUGGAAAAAGGGCCUUUGGUCGCGGUUCGCAACUGCCAUUAGUCGCGGUUGCGCAACCGCGACCGAACGGGCGCGACUAAAGGCCCCCCCCUUUAGUCGCGGUUGCUUAAGAACCGCGACUAAAGGCCCGUCCACGUGGGCGCCAGGUGGCCGUCGGGGCGGAGGACCUUUAGUCGCGGUUCUUCUGGCCAACCGCGACUAAAGGCCGCCACAGGUUUUUGAAAAAAAAAAUUGAAUUUUUUUUUCAAAUUUCUGAAUUAUUUUAACCUCUAGUCUCUAAUCACCACCCCUCAUCACUUCUCAAUUUAUUCUUUUAUCACCCCUCAUCAUUCCAAAUCAUCUAACUUCCCAACCGGUCACCCAUCCCUCUCACUACUCCAGCCCAAGCACGCUUAACUUCCGGGUUCUAUUCUCCCACGCUCCAAGUCUGCACUUGUUGUUUUCCUGACAAUAAUAAGAUGUCAAUCCUAUUAACCUUCAGGAAUUUUGCUUGAGCAUGAAGUGACACAUUUCACUGUUUGAGUUUGAAACUAUUGUUUUAAAAAACAAUAAUUAUUUAGUAACACUAAUAUUUCUUGAAUAAUUAGUUUGACCAUNNNNNNNNNNNNNNNNNNNNNNNNNNNNNNNNNNNNNNNNNNNNNNNNNNNNNNNNNNNNNNNNNNNNNNNNNNNNNNNNNNNNNNNNNNNNNNNNNNNNNNNNNNNNNNNNNNNNNNNNNNNNNNNNNNNNNNNNNNNNNNNNNNNNNNNNNNNNNNNNNNNNNNNNNNNNNNNNNNNNNNNNNNNNNNNNNNNNNNNNNNNNNNNNNNNNNNNNNNNNNNNNNNNNNNNNNNNNNNNNNNNNNNNNNNNNNNNNNNNNNNNNNNNNNNNNNNNNNNNNNNNNNNNNNNNNNNNNNNNNNNNNNNNNNNNNNNNNNNNNNNNNNNNNNNNNNNNNNNNNNNNNNNNNNNNNNNNNNNNNNNNNNNNNNNNNNNNNNNNNNNNNNNNNNNNNNNNNNNNNNNNNNNNNNNNNNNNNNNNNNNNNNNNNNNNNNNNNNNNNNNNNNNNNNNNNNNNNNNNNNNNNNNNNNNNNNNNNNNNNNNNNNNNNNNNNNNNNNNNNNNNNNNNNNNNNNNNNNNNNNNNNNNNNNNNNNNNNNNNNNNNNNNNNNNNNNNNNNNNNNNNNNNNNNNNNNNNNNNNNNNNNNNNNNNNNNNNNNNNNNNNNNNNNNNNNNNNNNNNNNNNNNNNNNNNNNNNNNNNNNNNNNNNNNNNNNNNNNNNNNNNNNNNNNNNNNNNNNNNNNNNNNNNNNNNNNNNNNNNNNNNNNNNNNNNNNNNNNNNNNNNNNNNNNNNNNCGACUAAAGGCCUUUGGGCACCUUUAGUCCCGGUUGGCCUGGCCAACCGCGACUAAAGCCCGCGAGCGUCCUGGGCCCAGGCAUUUGGUCGCGGUUCAUCUGCCGAACCGCGACUAAAGACUUCAUUAGUCGCGGUUCCUACAGUUUCGCGACUAAUGGGGCUGGACGGAAGCCUCUUUUUCUAUCAGUGAUGUCUGGUUUUAUUUCAAGAUUUUCGGUGAUGGACUUUCAGUGGAGGAGACGUUCCCGUCGACGACGAGACGCCUACGGUGACUUCGUAAUCUUGACAUGCCGAAUCAGUCUCUCGAAGGUGCUCAUAGGGAAAGGUGUGCGUGUACAGGGGCGGAGCUGGAGCACAAGUCACCCUGAUGCACCACCUUAACAUGGUGUAAAUUUUGUAAGCAACAUUUUAAGUAAAGGUAUAUUUUGUAACUUCUAGUCUAGAUUAUCCGACAUAAUAAGACGAUGGUGUAUAAAUUCAACUGUUACUAAUUAAAAUUCUAUAUAACUAUAAGGAUGGAUGAAAGGACAAAUUUACUUGGAAAAGAUGUCUCUUGAUUACCUUCCAAUAGAUUUGCUUUCUUGAGCAUCGGUGACCUUUUUCAUCACUGAAGAUUUCAUCACCAAGCUGAUUGCACAAGUAUAUUCUUCAAAUUAGGAUGGUAAAGUUCUGUUAAUUUCUUCUUGCCUGGAUUAUACUAAAUCUAGUCUUCUUCCCAAAUUACAUCUUCCAGAGAUUUCAAAAUAGUGAUUUUCUUUUGUGAAAAACCCUGUCCAUAGGAUAUCUGCAUUUAACAAACAAAAUUUUGAAAAGUUACAUGUAUGACAUGGAAAAUUGUAAGUUAAAACCCGACAUGGAAAAUUGCAAGUUAAAACCCUAAACGAUUCACAUGUUUUGCCAAAACUCGUAUAUAUGAACAGAGUUUGAUUUAUCUCGAUUCAAGUUAAUGCAAAACCUGACUAAAAUUGAUAACCAUUAGUUGUAGAAGUACUUGGAAACAUUGACAAAGGCAAGGGCGCUGCUAGGAGGAAAUUAGGAUAUGUUCUAACCUGUAGAUGGCAAUAGAGCAAAAAGAGUAGGAGUGUCGGCGUAGUUGCAGCAAUCAAGGGAUCGGUAACCUAUGCAUCUGGGCGUUGCGUCAGAUUUACGGUGUUGGCGUCGUGCCGAUCGCCGGCAGCUCUCGCGUCUGCGUGUGCGGCGUGCUCAGUGGGUACUGCCACCAUUGGAGCGUCUGUGGGGAACUAGGGAUUGGGAUUUGGGAGCCUAUCAGACAUGGGGAACCAUCGAUCGACCAACGCACGUAUGGGCUGCGAACGCGAGAUGCUGAGCGAAGUGGGCCUGGGCUGGGAGCGGGCGAGUAGAUAGAUCCUCGGCUGGAAUUUCGUACCCUGAUGCACCGGACACUGCCGUACCUGAUGCACAAGCCUUCUAUAGAUAGCACGUACGAGUAAAAUUUAAUUCGGACCCUGAUGCAUGUGCAUCAGGGUAGGCCCAUUAGGCUCCGCCCCUGUGCGUGUAUGCAUUCAUAGAAGUGAGUGUAUGCGCGUAUGUAUGUGUACUGGGUUAAAAAAAGACCAUGCAUGCACGAGUUGGCAUAAUUGUGGAGGUUUUUUGUUUCUUCAUUUUUCUUUUCUGCGGCAUUGAUCAUUAAUUUACGUUUGGCAGAUUCAGGAAGAUGUUACGCGUUGGUGGCCAUUGGAGCAUGUCUCUCCUUGCAAAAUACUCCCUCCGUUUUUACUUACUCUGCAUAUUAAAUUUGACUAAAGUCAAACUUUAUAAAGUUUGACCAAAUAUAUAGAAAAUAAUAUAUCUCUUUAUCAUAAUAAAUCUAUAUGAUGUGAAAGUAAAUUCAAUAAUAAAUCUAAUGAUAUUGAUUUGUUAUUAUAUAUGUUAAUAUUUUUGUUUAUUUUUUUAAGUUUACGAAGUUUGGCUUUGACCAAAGCUAAUAUACGGAGUAAAUAAAAACAGAGGAAGUAUUUAGUAGUCAUGCAUGAUGCAUGCAUAUAUUCUUAAGAAUUUCUUCUGAAUUAAGGGAUCUUGACGGAAAGCUAAUUUCACUUAUUUGAAGCUUUCUUGGACCCUUUUAAUUAGCUAGUAAAGUAGUACUACUAGUACUACGCAUCUAGAGUUGCCUUGACGUGUGCCUAAAAAAAGUUUGUAAGAAAAGAGAGUAGCCAUGACAAUUGACCUUUCUGGGCAGACUUCUCAACGGCCUUUAUCCAUUCGACUCGAAGUCUACACAACUAAUGGGUCAGCUUCAACUGUGUGUCUGUGUCCAUCCGCUAAGUGCUUGUAGUUGCCGACUCUUGGAGAGAAAUGCAAUUACGGGUCAGCGCCAGCCCAUGAAUGCAUGGAACAUGGAAACUUUCUGACGGGGUUGACGACCCACAUGACUUCACGGACGACCAAACAUUUCAUGCAUCCUCGCAUGCGUGAUCUCCGCCGUGUCAAAGUCAACCACUGGCAGCCUAUGAGAUACAUUUGUUUGUUUCUUGCCCUGUGCAUGCAGGUCUAAUAUAACACCAGCUGAUACGUAACUUCUCCUUUUGUAUUGUGUCAAUGUCAAAAUUUGUUGUGUCGUGGUGGAAACGUAGGAAAUGACUUGUUCCAUUAGUAAAUCGUCCAAAUGGUUUCUGUCAGUGUGAUCACCAGAGCCGGCCUUCGUACGUACGUGCGCAUCUGGACUUGUGACGUUUUGGUACUCCAUACGGUCCAGUUACGGGUCAGAGACCCCUCAAAAAAGAAAACUUACGGGUCAGAGCAGAAGAGCACCACCGAAGCUCUGGCUAGCGGCCGGCCGGCCGCCGGUGCACCCUUCUGUCACGGCUGGCAAGGCUAUCGCACCCGCCAGCGUGGACGAGAUGGAAGCUGGGCGUGAGCUAGAGGCAAAGUAGGUUGUGUGUGUGUGCUGGCUGACAAGUGGGCCUGAGGCCAGUGUGGUUGGUGUGGCCUGCGUGCCACAAGGGUGUGUUAAGUACGGCUGCGCCCGUGGGGAGAGUUAUGAGGAAAUAUGUGGAACUAGAACCAGGCGAGAGAAGCUGUUCUUCCUCGAUUAAAUCUCAGAUCCCCUUCCUUCCCUUCUUCCUCCAGCUCCCUCCCAAAUCCUUCCAUCUCUAGAUCACGAGAGGCCCGUGACAAGUGGUAUCAGAGGUCAGAUGACCUGGAUUCACUCCACCAGAAACCUAGAUACCAAACCAAGGCGGCCAAGCAAGCGGCGGUGAUGGAAGAACAGAUCGCGGCGCUCGCCAAGGCGGUCAACGACGGGCGCGCCGCCAACGACGCCCGCCUCGACGCGAUCCAGCAGUCCCUCGAGAUGUGGCGGCCGGCGGGUGACCAACUUGCAGCAGCAGUUGGACGAGCUGCGGACGCAGGUCGGUCGGAUCGCUCUUCAUCCGGCGCUCGCGUCGUCUCCGGCGGCCCAGGAGGACGCGGUGGUGCGGCCAACAGCGACCAACUCCGUCGGAAACCCUGGGCACCACGGGCCAAGUGGCCACGGCGAGGUCAUCGACUCCGGGGGCUCAGCCCAUGGGAUAGUCACCACCCUGGCGCCGCCUCCGGUCAAGGGUACGUGCCCGAUUUCCCCACUUGAGAUGCCUAUUUCCCCGCGCAUCGAACUGCGUAGGGAGUGGGAGCACCGUUCGUCUCACUCGAAUUGGUCUCUCCCCAAACUUGAUUUCCCUCAAUUUGACGGAGAAAAUCCCCAAUUCUGGAAGACUCGAUGUGAAAAGUACUUCGAGGUCUAUGGGGUACAGUCGGAUCUCUGGGUCCGCGUGGCUACGCUCCAUUUCUCUGGCCCUGCAGCACAAUGGCUUCAAGUCCAGGAAGCGCAGAGCACUCCGUUUACAUGGGCAAGUCUCUGUACUGCUCUGUGUGCCAAAUUUGGCCGUCAACAAUACCAAACCAGCUUCUUCUCGCAGUUUGUCAUAGAGACUGAUGCCAGCGCAACAGGAAUUGGCGCGGUGCUGAUGCAGGACGGGCACCCGGUGGCAUAUCUCAGCAAAGCGCUUGCCCCACGGAAUCUGGGAUUAUCAGCCUACGAGAAGGAAUGCUUAGCCCUUCUUCUCGCAGUCGACCACUGGCGUCCCUAUCUACAACACGCUGAAUUUGUGGUGCGCACAGAUUAGAAGAGCUUGCUGAACCUUACAGACCAGCGGCUCAACACACCAAUACAGCAGCGAGCGUUCACUAAGCUGGUCGGGCUGCAAUUUGUGAUCCAGUACAAGGCUGGUCAUUCCAACCGUGCGGCUGAUGCACUGUCGCGCAAGGACCAUGGGGAAGGGGCUGAAAUUGCUGCUAUAUCAGUGUGCAAACCAGCUUGGCUUGAUGCCAUCAGGCGCAGCUACCAACAAGAUGAAAACGUCAAGCAACACAUGACCAGGAUGGCCGUGGACCCGCAGUGCGAACCAGAGUUUACUCUGCAAGAUGGUGUGCUCCGGUUCCGUGGAAGAGUGUGGAUUGGCGAUGACCCAACAACACAGCAACACCUCAUCCGAGCGCUGCAUGCAAGUGCCGCAGGCGGACACUCAGGUUUCCACGCAACAUACAACAGAAUCAAAAACCUAUUUGCAUAGAGCGGCAUGAAGCAACAAGUGAAGACUCUGGUCAGAGAGUGUAUGGUCUGUCAACAGCCAAGACCGAGCGGGUGUCGCCAGCGGGGCUCUUGCAACCUUUACCCAUACCUCAGAAGCCUUGGUCUGUCGUCUCAUUGGACUUUAUUGAAGGCUUGCCGCGUUCAGGGGGAUAUGACACAGUACUGGUGGUUGUCGACAAAUUCUCCAAAUAUGCCCAUUUCGUUCCUUUGACACAUCCAUUCACGGCGCUCCAGAUUGCAAAAGUGUUCCUGAAGGAGAUCUAUCGCCUGCACGGGCUCCCACUGGCAAUUAUUUCUGACAGGGAUCGCAUCUUCACAAGCAACGUUUGGCAAGAAUUGUUCAGGCUCUGUCGAACUGAACUCAGACUUAGCUCGUCAUACCACCCGCAGACAGAUGGCCAGACCGAGAGGGUCAAUCAAUGUCUCGAGGCCUACCUUCGAUGCACCGUGCACUCCUGCCCCGGCAAUUGGGCAAAAUGGCUGGUGCUCGCUGAGUACUGGUACAACACCUCGUACCACUCUGCGUUGGGGAGGACACCCUUUGAGGUAAUCUACGGCCACUUGCCUCGAGAUUUCGGAGUGUCGCAGGUGGAGGAAUGCACAGUGCUGGACCUGGCAGCAUGGUUGCGCGAGCGGGAGGUCAUGCUAGAGCACUUGCAACAACAACUCAAACGCGCCCAAGAUCGGAUGAAGAUACAGGCUGAUCGUAAACGAACUGAUCGGGAGUUUUCCGUCGGUGACACGGUCCUGCUGAAACUACAACCAUUCAUCCAGACCUCCGUUGCACAACGCCCUCACCAGAAACUGGCGUUCCGCUACUAUGGGUCGUACCGCAUCCUGGCGCGUGUUGGGGCUGUUGCGUAUAAGCUGCAACUUCCUGACGGGAGUAAGAUCCACCCUGUCGUGCACGUCUCACAACUGAAGAAGGCCGAGGGCGCAACAGUGCCGGUGAGCUCUGAACUUCCCCCUGAUAACUCUAUCCUGCAGGCUGAACACACACCGGAGAAGAUCCUGGAGUGCAAGACGGUGCGUGUGGCCGGAGGUGAGCGUGCUCGUGUCCGAGUGCAAUGGAGCCUUCUUCCUGACUCGCUGUCUACAUGGGAGGACCCGAUCAACCUCCAGCAGCGGUUCCCAGCAUCGCCACCUUGGGGACAAGCCGGCACCCAAGAGGGGGAGAGUGUCACGGCUGGCAAGGCUAUCGCACCCGCCAGCGUGGACGAGAUGGAAGCUGGGCUUGAGCUAGAGGCAAAGUAGGUUGUGUGUGUGUGCUGGCUGACAAGUGGGCCUGAGGCCAGUGUGGUUGGUGUGGCCUGCGUGCCGCAAGGGUGUGUUAAGUACGGCUGCGCCCGUGGAGAGAGUUAUGAGGAAAUAUGUGGAACUAGAACCAGGCGAGAGAAGCUGUUCUUCCUCGAUUAAAUCUCAGAUCCCCUUCCUUCCCUUCUUCCUACAGCUCCCUCCCAAAUCCUUCCAUCUCUAGAUCACGAGAGGCCCGUGACACCUUCUCCACUCUGCCCGGUCGAUGGAUGUGCUGCGCACAUGCGUGGCGGCGGUGUGGCGGCCGCCGGCGAUGGAGGAGCCCCAUAGCCCUGACGUGGCACCGCACCUGGCCUCGCGGUUUGUGCACUCGUGGUCGUAGGGGCUGCCUGACUGAGUUAGCCUCUAUCCAGGGGCGGAGCCAGGAUGAAACAUGAGAGGGGGCAAAGAGGUUUAGGAUUUUUUUUCUUCAGAAAAGUGUAUACUAACUAAUGGCUAGAUCAUGUAAGAAACUAACCACAGAAAGCAUGCAUAUUGUGUGAAAGAAGCAAAAAAAAAAUCACAUGAUCACGCACAUAAUAAUGAAAAAAAUCAUUGCCAAAAUAAAAGUAAGCUAACCACUUUAGGUACCGUAACUUGAGAAAUAUGAAUAUGCCGUUUCUUUUUGUUGGUACGUCCGUGAAUUCUAGCCUUCACGCUGCAGGAAAAAUAGAAGUGUUUAAAUGUAAAGAGAGAAUGUAAACGUAGAUUGCUAAAAAUAUAAGCUUGAGCACACUACCUUCCGUUAAGAUAAUCGAUAUUAAAAUCUACUAUCUUCCUUUUAGAUGGAUGGUAAUUAGCUUGUUCAGAUUGAGUGUUGUAAGCCUACUACCAGUUGCGGAUUUUCCAAAAAAAUCUGUUCAUUAGCUUUCUAAAUAAAUUGAAGUACAUGAAGACAUAAUAUUACUGUAGUCCAGAGUUUUUAUUCUGCUCCCAUGUGCUCAAACUUAUUCAUAUGAAAUUAUUACAUAUAGCAAGAUUCAAUCAACCUAAUUACCAAUUUGUACCUUUUAAACCUGGAAUCAGAAUAGACUGAAAAUAUGGAAAUUAGAAGAUAAAAAUGAGAACUGAACCUAGGGCUUACCUUGAUUGAAAGAUUGAUGAGCAGCGCACGUAUUGUUUUUCCUUAGGGACGGCGACCCGGCCGGCCAGCCGGAGUGCAUGGUGCAGAUCAAGGUUCACAGUCGGAGGGACGGCCUGUAGGUAGCUUAGAGUUACAGGCGUCGACAGCUUCGGCUUGCCACGGCGGUCGCAUGCAUGAGCAGCAGAUUAGUCAGGAGCCAGGCGGCGGCGCAUAGGUUUCUAGCGAUUUGGCAAGCAACUGUCCGUAGGUAAUUCCUAAACGGCGCCCUCAGCGCCCGUUUACAGCCAUUUCGCAAUCCGGCGCAUACCCCUCAAGCGACUUGGGCUCGGCCCAUCUUCUCAUAUUAUUUCCUGCUUUAUACCGCAAAAAAGGAAACGCCCGAUAGGGAUUCGAACCCACGACGUCUUCACUGAUUCCAAGCACCACUUACCAACCCGCCAUAGAGACCUGAUGUUGCUAAUUACAUCUUCUACGUUCUUUUGUUCUUUCCUCAUUUUUUUUCUUGUUCCUUUCUUUUGAAGGUUUAGUUCGUUUUUUUUCUCUUUUGCAAAAUGCAUGAACUAUUUUUCAAAAUCUAUGAACUCUUCUUGAAAGUUGAUGAACUAUUUUAAAAUUUGAUGAACUUUUUUUCAAAUUCGAUGAACGUUUUUUGAAUUUGAUGAACUUUUCUCAAAUUUGAUGAACCUAUUUCAAAUUCGAUGAACUUUUUUCAAACUCGAUGAACUUUUUUCAAACUUAAUGAACUUUUUUUCAAUUUCAAUCAACUUUUUUUUCAAACUCGAUGUCUUUUUGGAACUCGGUGAACUUCUUUUCAAAUUCAAUGAAGUUUUUGUUUCUUUUUCGUGUAUUAUACACAGUUCAUUGCAUAUUUAUAUACAAAAAUGUUCAUCGUAUAUUUAAUAAAAUGUUCAACAUAUUUAAUAAAAUGUUCAUUGGGUAUAUUAAAAUUGUUCAACAUAUAUUCACAACAAUGUUCAAUGCAUAUUUAUAAAUUGUUCAGCGUAUGCCACAAAAAUGUUCAAUGUGUAUUUAAAUAUUUGUUCAGCAUACAUAAAAAAAUGUUCAGUGUGUAUUUAAAAACUGUUCAGCGUUUAUCACAAAAUGUGCAUUGUAUAUUUAAAAAUCGUUCAUCUUUUGAAAUUUCAACUUAUUUGUUCAUUUUUCCAUAAAUGUUAAUGUUUUUAAAAGUUUGAUCAACUUUUUUGUUCAUUUUUCCAUAAAUGUUGAUGUUUUUAAAAGUUUGAUCAACUUUUUUGUUCAUUUAGUCGGUAGUUCCAAGUUGGUGUGGUGGUUAACCAUACUUGUACGUUACAAUUACGGCGCGAGUUCGAUCCUGCAGCUCGCUUCUUUUUUGGCUUAAUUUUUCUGCGUUGCCCGCCAGCGAACGAAGUAAUGCUGGGCCGGCCCAGUAGAAGCACCUUCGAGCGCCCGUAAUCAAAACCGGCGCUGAGAGCGCCGGUUAGGACCUCCCCUGCCCGUAUGCAUCUGCCUGCUUCGUAUUCUUUCUACAUGGGCUGCAACUCACACAUGGGCGGAUGGGCUUUACAUAACCGAAAAAUUAAGGAGUGGGGGCAAAUAGCCUGGGCUGAGCGGGGGCAACGAUAUGCAUAUUAGGCCUGGUAUACAUGGGCCAAAAAAUCGAGUGGGGGCAUUCGCCCCCACAACCUCUUACGUAGAUUCGCCCCUGCCUCUAUCCAGUGGAACGGAUGCGCGCGGUCACGUCGUGUGGACUUUUUUUUUGAGGGAACACGUCGUGUGGACUUUGUAUAUCGGUUGAUCGUGUGGCGACGCGAGCGUGGAAUAGCCGCCGGGCACAUGCUUUUCGCUCGCGUCCCACCCGAUGGUCGUCGUGUUAGACUUGAGCAUUGAUCGCAGGAGCCUCGUGUGAGCGGAGUGGAGUCAGUACUCAUUAGGAUCCAUUUGAGUUUCUUUCUACGACUAGUCAAGGUCCGUGACAGCGACACUGGUGCAAUGCAACGUAGUAAAAAGUCAUAUAUCCAUGGUGGUUCCCUAGCUUAGACGUAGCGUGAGUCCAAAACAAUACGCUUCGUUUUCUGCUCCCACGGUCGAGAUCGGUUAAAGUCAGUUGGUGGUUCACUGUCUACUCACUCGGUUAUUAUAAAAUCGAUUGCAUCCUCUGUUCCUAAAUAUAUGUCUUUGUAGAGAUUUCAAAUAGACUACCACGUAUGAAUGUAUAUAGACAUAUUUUAGAGUGUAGAUUCACCUAUUUUUCUUCGUAUAUAGUCACUUGCUGAAAUUUCCUGAAAGACAAAUAUUUAAAAACGGAGGGAGUAGAUCAAUUAAGCACGUGAGCGCUGGGGUUUGUGCGGUCCAGAGGUAAAGUGUGCAAGACUUCACGGUCCAAAAAAAAUAGCAACACAAGGUCCUUCCUUUUUCUUUGCACAAGAUCUGGAGGAGCAAUGGAAGCUUCUUUCGGGUCGAUGUUAUGAUGAAGGCCAGGCCCGCAAAAAGGAUAACCCGCCUGGUGCGCGAUAGGGAUGGACGGCUCGUGUGAAAGUGGUUUUUCAAGCCACAAGGGCAUGCAAUGGGUCUGCAUCCGCCGUUCACUUCAACAUCCGGAUUUGUGAACAGAUUGCUGUAUAAGUGUUUGGACCAUUUUUUUGCAGCCAGGAUGAACAUGUAUUUGAAAAAUGUUGACCAAGCAUUUAAAAAAUGUUAAACAUGUAUAGAAAGAAAUGUGGAUCAUGUAUUAAAAAUGAUGAAAAGAAUUGAUCAUGUAUACAAAAAUGUUAAUCUAGAAUUUGAAAAAAUGUUGAAUAAUUAUUUGAAAAAUGUUGAAUAAGUAUUUAAAAACAUUAAUUGAGCAUUUGAAAAUUAUUAAAUGUGUAUAGAAAAAAUGUUGACCACAUAUUAAAAAAUAAUGAAUUUUUUUAUCAUCUAAAUCAAAAUGUUAAUCAAGCAUUUAGAAAAUGAUAAAUUUGUAUUAAAAAAUGUUGACCACAUAUUAAAAAAUGUAAUAUUUUACUUGAAAAAUGUUAAUCAAAUAUUUAAUAUUAUAUUCGAAAAAUGUUAAUCAAGAGUUUGAAAAAAUGUAAAAAAGUAUUGAUGACCAUGUAUUAAAAAAUAUUGAUGACCAUGUAUUAAAAAAUAUUGAUGACCAUAUAUUGGAAAAAUGUUAAUUAAGAGUUUGAAAAAUGUAAAAAAAAUAUUGAUCAUGUGUUAAAAAAUGUUACCUUGUGUUUGAAAAAUUUUAAACAUGUAUUAGAAAAAUGUUCUUGAAGUAUAUGAAAAAUAUAGAAUGGGAACCAGCAUAAGUAAAAAAGGAAAAAAAUAAUGAAAAGCAAAAAAGAAACAAAAGCCAAAGAAAAAUAAAGAAAAUGAAAGAUAAAACUAAAGUAAUAAAUGCAAAAUGUAUGGCAAAAUAGUGACAACCGGUAAAGAAACAAAGAAAAGGCAAAAAAUGUGGAAAAGCAAGAAAAACAUAUAAAGAAAGAAAAGAAAGAAAAGAGAGUAGAAAAGGAAGGAAACCCGGUGAAAAAGAAAGAAAAGGGAAAAUAAAGAAAAAGCACAAAACAAAGAGAAAUAUUUAAAAAAAGUGAAAGCAAAAAAACCAAAGAAACUAGUGAGGAACAAAGAAAAACCGAAAAAAAGCAAGCAAAACCAGCGAAGGAAGCUCGGCUAACGUGUGAACUGAAUCGAAAACCUGCCUGGUGAACGAGCGAUCGCGGACGAAAAAAAAAGCAAAACAGGGCCGGCCCGAUAACUUCUUCUCAGAGGAAAGAUCUUCACAGAGAUAGAAGGGAUUCUCACCUAAAGAGAGAUAUAGUUACAGUGCCAGUAUUGGCCAACUUGAGCCCUGUCCUCUAGAGCAACUUCCAGUUAGACUGCUAGAGGUUUUUCUCAGCAUCGUAGCUGCUACGGCAGCGGCUGAAAAACUAAUAUGUUUCCUGUGCGAGAUUUGUUGACGCGAUCUUUGUGUUAUCGUUUUCAUGAAAUGAAAUUGGGAGGCUAGUGCUCCUUUCUCUUGAAAAAGAAUAAUCGUAGCGGGUACUUAGCAAGGAAGUAACCAGUUGAUUGGCCUAGAAUGUACUCCCUCCAUCCCAAAAUACUUGUCUCUCAAAUGGGCUCAAAUGGAUGGAUCUAUGAUGCUUGAUGCAUCUAUUUGAGCGACAUGAUUUUUGGGACGGAGGGAGUAUGAACCAACGGACAUAGGUGAUUGAGGACGGGAAGAUAACCUUUGAUACAACCCAAAUUCAAAUCGAAAUACAUUCCCAACCAAAAAAUCCUUGCCGCAAUUCUUCCUGAGAGAGUUGAGACGCUGACAGUCUAGUAUUCAAAACCAAAACCCUACCGCUGCUCGGGCACAACCACAUCACGAGACACAAAUCAAAGCAGCGAGUGGGAUGGAGGAGCUCACUACCGAAGGAAGGAAGAUCUAUGAUAUCUUCAAGGGAGGGGUCGAGGAGGACCUCGAUCGCAAUCUUAUGGGGCAACGGAUGGAGACGCUCAAGGCGGUCCGUAAGAUGUUCGACGAAAAUGACCCCAAGCCCGACGACCUCUUUGUGAAGUUCGAUGGUGUGUGCGAGGACCUCAUCGUCGACAUCGGUCAUAUCUGCCUCAGCAACGACCAUGGAGGCCGAGCGGAUCCGCAGAGCAAGGGCACAAGUUUGUUGUUGCCCAAAUCUACGACGGAGCCGCAGCGAAAGGAGUCACUGGCCACCAUGGAACAAAGGAGGGACCUCUGCGCAAGCCCUCCGCCUACAUACCAGCACCGGCUCGUGCUGCACAUGAACCAAAUUUUCCCUAUUUUUUCCAUCCAUUGAUUCCUUUCGCGGGGAGAUUUUUUAUAACUUUUCACAUGUUUUUUUAUAACCUUCGGCCUACAUGCAUGUGAUUGAAACCAAAGAUCGUGUGUCCUUCCAUUGCCCUUUCAUCUCAGAUAUGUUGGUCCCAUUUGUGGCCAAAUUGGAGUCCAACUCAUCAACACAUUCGGGAGGAAAUUAAUCAGAUGAAGCAACUUCAGGGUGUACCUUUUUCUUUAGAGAUCAUCACUUUGGCCACUUACUCACUUCGGCGGUUUGGAACACUCAAAAAUCUACUUAUUUUCGAAGGCAUUUAUCCUGGCAGUUAUGCUUGUAGGAAAAAGUUCAAAGAGGAGCUUAAAUGGAUUAUUUUCCAAACCAAUAUGAAGAAUUACAUCAAUUUUGAAGCAAUUUAGAUAUACUUCCUUUGUACAUUUUGUAUCUUUACGUCUUUGUAUAUGUAUUUUUUUACAUUUUGAGUAUUCUUUAUUUAGAAAUCAAUAAAAUAUACACAACAUGUCAUGUUGUUUCCUCUAAAAAACAAUAGAUUGAACUGCAACCUCUUUUGUAUGCCCGAUAGAUCAAACAAAACAAACCAUAUGCUCAACCUACACUAGUAGGAAAGGGGGCAAUGGUCCCAUUAGUCCCGGUUCAAUUCAGAACCGGGACAAAUGGGGGCAUUGGACCCGGUUCGUGAGCCCCGGGGGCCGGCCGGGCCACGUGGGCCAUUGGUGCCGGUUCGUCUGGACCUUUUGGUCCCGGUUGGUGGGACGAACCGGGACCAAUGGUCCUCGCUCCUGGCCCACCACUAUUGGUCCUGGUUGGAGGCAUGAACCGGGACCAAAGGCCGCCCAUUAGUCCCGGUUCAUACCACCAACCGGAACUAAGGGUGUGUUUGGUUGUCUGGGCAGCUUCAGCCUGCAUCGCAUGGAGGAUCCUGGCUGGGCUUGGCUUGGUUGAGUGGGUGCAAAGCUGAAUUGAGAUAUAUGUUUGGUUGGCUGUAGGAUAUCUAUGCACGAGAGUUGUUGUAUACCACAGAUGUUGUUUGGUAGGAUGCAUUAGAGAUUCUGAACCAAAAAUCAAGUUUCAAUUGUAUUUAUUAGAAAUUCCUCAAACAAGUAAAAAACUGAACAAAGUCACAUUAGGGCUUAAUUCCAUGCAUUAGACCUGCUGUUUGUCUCAAAUAGCAUAAUAGAAACAGUGACUAGUAGAUGGACAUUUAAAGAGGAAUUCACAACAAAAUAACACCACUAGCUAGCAAUUAGUACAGCGGAUGCAGAUGAACAGACAACCGAUAAGAAGAUUAGCACCAGUUGACGUUCGUUUCUCGGACAAUACUUGGAAUCCCACAUCCGCCUCUCACCAUUCAGAGCAAAAACAAGGUCAGGAUGGGAGAUUAGAAAUACCUAAUACAAGAUCUGGAACAAAUAUGUAACAAACACGAAGCACACAUCGGGCAGC
rnacentral:lncRNA from 1 species